rnacentral:rRNA from 1 species
UACAGAGGGGGCGAGCGUUGUUCGGAAUUACUGGGCGUAAAGGGCGCGUAGGCGGCCUGCUAAGUCGAACGUGAAAUCCCCGAGCUCAACUCGGGAACUGCGUCCGAUACUGGCAGGCUUGAAUCCGGGAGAGGGAUGCGGAAUUCCAGGUGUAGCGGUGAAAUGCGUAGAUAUCUGGAGGAACACCGGUGGCGAAGGCGGCAUCCUGGACCGGCAUUGACGCUGAGGCGCGAAAGCCAGGGGAGCAAACGGG